rnacentral:rRNA from 2 species
UACGUAGGUGGCGAGCGUUGUCCGGAAUUAUUGGGCGUAAAGGGAGCGCAGGCGGGCGAGUAAGUCUUUCUUAAAAGUGCGGGGCUCAACCCCGUGAGGGGAGAGAAACUACUCAUCUUGAGUGCAGGAGAGGAAAGCGGAAUUCCUAGUGUAGCGGUGAAAUGCGUAGAUAUUAGGAAGAACACCAGUGGCGAAGGCGGCUUUCUGGACUGUAACUGACGCUGAGGCUCGAAAGCCAGGGGAGCGAACGGG